GGAUUAGAUACCCUGGUAGUCCACGCCGUAAACGAUGUGUGCUAGUUGUUGGAGUCUUGAGGCUUCAGUGGCGCAGCGAAAGCAUUAAGCACACCGCCUGGGGAGUACGGCCGCAAGGUUAAAACUCAAAGGAAUUGACGGGGACCCGCACAAGCGGUGGAGCAUGUUGUUUAAUUCGAAGCAACGCGAAGAACCUUACCCACACUUGACAUCCUUCUUGGGACUUUCAGAGAUGAUUGUCUUCGGUUCGGCCGGGGAAGUGACAGGUGCUGCAUGGCUGUCGUCAGCUCGUGCUG
rnacentral:rRNA from 1 species